CCCUUAGAUGUUCUGGGCCGCACGCGCGCUACACUGAUACGUUCAGCGAGUAUAUAACCUUGAUUGGAAAAUCUGGGUAAUCUUUUGAAUGCGUAUCGCGCUAGGGAUAGAUUAUUGCAAUUAUUAAUCUUGAACGAGGAAUUCCUAGUAAACGCAAGUCAUCAGCUUGCAUUGAUUACGUCCCUGCCCUUUGUACACACCGCCUGUCGCACAAACCGAUUGAAUGAUUCGGUGAAAAUUUUGGACAUCGAGAGUGGUGAUUAAUUUCGCUGCUCUUAAAUGGAAAGAAUUUAAACCUAAUUAUUUAGAGGAUUGUGAAGUCAUAACA
rnacentral:rRNA from 1 species